rnacentral:rRNA from 1 species
UUGCUCCACCGGAAAAAGAAGAGUGGCGAACGGGUGAGUAACACGUGGGUAACCUGCCCAUCAGAAGGGGAUAACACUUGGAAACAGGUGCUAAUACCGUAUAACAAUCAAAACCGCAUGGUUUUGAUUUGAAAGGCGCUUUCGGGUGUCGCUGAUGGAUGGACCCGCGGUGCAUUAGCUAGUUGGUGAGGUAACGGCUCACCAAGGCCACGAUGCAUAGCCGACCUGAGAGGGUGAUCGGCCACAUUGGGACUGAGACACGGCCCAAACUCCUACGGGAGGCAGCAGUAGGGAAUCUUCGGCAAUGGACGAAAGUCUGACCGAGCAACGCCGCGUGAGUGAAGAAGGUUUUCGGAUCGUAAAACUCUGUUGUUAGAGAAGAACAAGGAUGAGAGUAACUGUUCAUCCCUUGACGGUAUCUAACCAGAAAGCCACGGCUAACUACGUGCCAGCAGCCGCGGUAAUACGUAGGUGGCAAGCGUUGUCCGGAUUUAUUGGGCGUAAAGCGAGCGCAGGCGGUUUCUUAAGUCUGAUGUGAAAGCCCCCGGCUCAACCGGGGAGGGUCAUUGGAAACUGGGAGACUUGAGUGCAGAAGAGGAGAGUGGAAUUCCAUGUGUAGCGGUGAAAUGCGUAGAUAUAUGGAGGAACACCAGUGGCGAAGGCGGCUCUCUGGUCUGUAACUGACGCUGAGGCUCGAAAGCGUGGGGAGCAAACAGGAUUAGAUACCCUGGUAGUCCACGCCGUAAACGAUGAGUGCUAAGUGUUGGAGGGUUUCCGCCCUUCAGUGCUGCAGCUAACGCAUUAAGCACUCCGCCUGGGGAGUACGACCGCAAGGUUGAAACUCAAAGGAAUUGACGGGGGCCCGCACAAGCGGUGGAGCAUGUGGUUUAAUUCGAAGCAACGCGAAGAACCUUACCAGGUCUUGACAUCCUUUUGACCACUCUAGAGAUAGAGCUUCCCCUUCGGGGGCAAAGUGCCAGGUGGUGCAUGGUUGUCGUCAGCUCGUGUCGUGAGAUGUUGGGUUAAGUCCCGCAACGAGCGCAACCCUUAUUGUUAGUUGCCAUCAUUCAGUUGGCCACUCUAGCAAGACUGCCGGUGACAAACCGGAGGAAGGUGGGG